AUCCCAUGAUGAGGGCACUUCCGUAAUAGCUCAUUGAAUUUUUCCCAUGCUUCAUAUAAUGACUCUCCAUCUGUUUGUUGGAAAGAGGUAAUGUCGUUCCUUUAGCU
rnacentral:snoRNA from 1 species